GCAUCGAUAGCUCAGAGGCACAGCGGUGGGGCGUUUACCCAUGCGGCCCGGGUUCGAUCCCCGGUCGAUGCA